rnacentral:rRNA from 1 species
AGUGAACGCUGGCGGUAGGCCUAACACAUGCAAGUCGAACGGCAGCACAGUAAGAGCUUGCUCUUACGGGUGGCGAGUGGCGGACGGGUGAGGAAUACAUCGGAAUCUACUUUUUCGUGGGGGAUAACGUAGGGAAACUUACGCUAAUACCGCAUACGACCUACGGGUGAAAGCAGGGGAUCUUCGGACCUUGCGCGAUUGAAUGAGCGGAUGUCGGAUUAGCUAGUUGGCGGGGUAAAGGCCCACCAAGGCGACGAUCCGUAGCUGGUCUGAGAGGAUGAUCAGCCACACUGGAACUGAGAUACGGUCCAGACUCCUACGGGAGGCAGCAGUGGGGAAUAUUGGACAAUGGGCGCAAGCCUGAUCCAGCCAUACCGCGUGGGUGAAGAAGGCCUUCGGGUUGUAAAGCCCUUUUGUUGGGAAAGAAAAGCAGCAGGUUAAUACCCCGCUGUUCUGACGGUACCCAAAGAAUAAGCACCGGCUAACUUCGUG